UUGUUGAUAGCGCGUAACGAACGAAAAAUGACCUGUUGGGAAGACUUUGAAAGUUAUAAGACUUUCUAAGAGGCCAAAAAGGUUUUGCAAAACAUAAAUGGUUACAGUGAGGCGAUGUGAAAGAAAUGAGGAACGAUUAUUUAUUUUAUAAAUCACCGCAACAGGACUUCUGCAAAAUCUUCACCCUCACCUAAAAGUCUCUUGGAAUCUUGAAUGCAUGGAUUAUUAUAAACUACUGGAUAUAAUCAAGAACAACAACGCUGGAAAAUACUACAACUACAAAUAAUACUACAAAAAGUACUCUGCUCUCUUCUCACAAUGUGUAAUGAGAGCAGUUCAGUACAGAUUUGCAAUGUAGUGGUUUGAUCAUAAAUUUCAAGGGAAAAAAGAAGAUCAAUCCAUAUGAAACCCAUAACAACACCAAGAAGAACCAGGGCAGAGCAACACCACAAACAGCCACAGUCCAUCCACCAGAAGAAAUACCCAACCUAAGGAAUGUGCCCAAACAGUUUCAAGUUAAACAUAAAACCUUAAAGCUUAUGUUUCAAACCUAAAAUAUCUGUUGAAGUUAUCAACAGAGUCAUAAUUAUAUGACUUUGGGGGCCAUGUUGUUUCGAGGGAAUGCGAUUAAAGCUUCUGCCCAAUAUGCCCCUCAUCACCCCCUCCACGACCCAAAGGCAUUUAGUCGUCGAUUGGAAAUUAAGCUGGCUGGCUGGAACUUACUGUUGUGACUGCUGCUCCUACUCAUCCUAUACUAGAAUUAUGAGUAGAAGUCAAGCGUUCAGGCUGUCAAGACAGGCCAGCAGCCUGUCCCACAAAUAUGCAUGUCCACGAACAAUAUCAGCCUCAACGAUACAGCUUAAAGGCCCCAAAACACACAGCAACAACAGCAGCAGCGGAAGAUGGAGGGAAAAUCUGAAAUACCACCACAACACUAACAAAAUAUGUUUUAAGGCCACACAACACCCAAUAGCUAUGAAAACAUACAGCAACAAAAAUGUAAUGAUAAUGAAGAACAUGACAAAAAAAAAAAACAAAGAUGAAGAAGAAGGUAAAAAAUUAUGUGCUACUGGAUAAAAAUCAGAAGAUAUGUAUAUUCACAUUUGUUAAGAAUGCCAGCAAGAAAAAGAAAUAGCAAGCACGAAAACUGCACCAUAAGAUGGGAGAGAUAUAUUUAAGUUUUUCAUUUCAGCUGCAACUAUUUGAAAUAUUCAUUUUUUUUAAAUUA